rnacentral:rRNA from 1 species
CUAUACAUGACUCUGCGCAUAUCAAUAAGCGGAGGAAAAGAAACUAACAAGGAUUCCCCUAGUAACGGCGAGUGAAGCGGGAAGAGCUCAAAUUUGAAAUCUUAAAGGGUUUCCCUUUACGAAUUGUAGUUUAAAGAAGUGUUUUCUGUUGAGGUUUUGGUAAAAGUUCUUUGGAAUAGGACAUCAUAGAGGGUGAGAAUCCCGUAUUUGACCUUUACUUUCAACUUUGUGAUACACUUUCAAAGAGUCGGAUUGUUUGGGAAUGCAGUCCAAAAUGGGUGGUAAAUUUCAUCUAAAGCUAAAUAUUGGCGAGAGACCGAUAGCGAACAAGUACCGUGAGGGAAAGGAUGAAAAGAACUUUGAAAAGAGAGUUAAACAGUACGUGAAAUUGUCAAAAGGGAAGCGUUUGACACCAGUGUUGUUUUUCUGAAAAUCAAUUAAAGAACUGUUUAUGCUAAGCUGUUUAGACUUUAUCAGCUAACUGUUUAGUUUUGAGCUUUUCUUUAAUGCACUUUUCAGUCAACAAGUCAACAUCAAUUUCUUUUGCUGUAAAAAAGCUUGAGGAAGGUGGCUUGAGAUUCGUCUUAAGUGUUUAUAGCCUCUUGCCUAUGCAGUCGGAGAGAUUGAGGUCUGCAGCGUAGAUCCUUCGGGGCUAAAUGCAUUUGUGCUAAGUUAUAGCAUUUUAUAGACAACUUGUUGACUAUGAUUUGUCUUGUAGCUUACUCGCUUAUGUUAUUUUACCUACGCUUAGGAUGUUGAUCUACAGAGCGAGAGU